rnacentral:rRNA from 1 species
AUGGUGGAGUUUUAUUUAUAUGAUGAGCAUAAGGAGAUGUCACUUUAUGAUUUUUGUCGGGUUUGUUUGGUCCCUUUCGAGGGCACGACAGAGGAACCGCAUCAUGGCGAUGUGGAUGGGUUUAUUGAUAUCAUCACUGUAGGGGAAACGAGGAAGGUUAUCACUAGCAUACAUUUUCCUGUUUUACGCUAUUUUGCAUUAUUUGCUAGUUGUUGCUUAAUUGGUUGCGGAAACUGUGGAAACCUUAGUGUUCCUGAUAUUAUUAUUUUGCUCCACGGUUUAUUCAGUGAUAAUUCUGUUAGUAUGGGCAGCAUUAUUGCUAAACGGUUAAGUCUGAACCGUACAAAGGGCCCCAUCUUUGGAGGCAUCUAUGCUUCACGCCUUGCUGCACAUUUUAACAUACCUAUUAGGCAUUAUGAGAAGGAAGAAAAAGUGAUGCAUCGUGUUUAUUUAGAUUAUAAGAGCAUGGUAGCACAUGAUUUUAUUGUUAAGAAUAGGUAA